GAAGUCGGCCGGGCAGCCGCUGUGACGCAAGUCACGGAGGAAAGUCCGGGCUCCACAGGGCAGGGUGCCAGGUAACGCCUGGGGGGCGCGAGCCUACGGAAAGUGCCACAGAAAAUAUACCGCCUGUGUCCGCACAGGUAAGGGUGAAAUGGUGCGGUAAGAGCGCACCGCGCGGCUGGUAACAGCCGUGGCAGGGUAAACCCCACCCGGAGCAAGACCAAAUAGGGGAGCACUGGCGUGGCCCGCGCUGCUCCCGGGUAGGUCGCUUGAGGUGCGCGGCGACGCGUGGCCCAGAUGAAUGGCUGUCCACGACAGAACCCGGCUUACAGGCCGGCUUCCUCU
rnacentral:RNase_P_RNA from 1 species